rnacentral:lncRNA from 1 species
GCUCCCUGGUAAAUCCCACCGGGUACUGGUCACAUCUCUGUUGAAGUGCUUUAUAUUUCAGGAAGUUCCUGGAGCAGUGGGGCAGGUAACUUGAUCAUGUGGUAUUUGACUGUAGAAGAUCACUUUCUCAUGGAAUAAUGGCAUCUGAUUAAAAAAAUUCAAUGUAGGGGAUCUAGAGGUGACCAGGUCCACUGUCUUAGAACAUCCCUUGCCUUCCAUGGUUCCACAGGGGAUACUGCUCCCCUAGGAGGCACUCAGCUCUCAAUCAGAUUAGCUUGCUCAGCUUGCUAUUUUCAGCUUGGGUAGUGGAAGGGUGGGCAUGUUCCUGCCACACUCAGUGCUCAAGGUGAAAGCUAUCCUAGGAUAUUCAGGAUAGAGAUUUUUAUCCUUCAUGGUCU